rnacentral:tRNA from 1 species
GCUGGGUCUGAGCUCAGUGGUAGACCACUUGUCUCGCACAUGUGAGGCACUGGGUUCGAUCCUCAGCACAACA